rnacentral:rRNA from 1 species
UACGUAGGGUGCGAGCGUUGUCCGGAAUUACUGGGCGUAAAGAGCUCGUAGGUGGUUUGUCGCGUUGUUCGUGAAAACUCACAACUCAAUUGUGGGCGUGCGGGCGAUACGGGCAGACUGGAGUACUGCAGGGGAGACUGGAAUUCCUGGUGUAGCGGUGGAAUGCGCAGAUAUCUGGAGGAAUACCGGUGGCGAAGGCGGCAUCCUGGACCGAGAUUGACGCUGAUGAGCGAAAGCUAGGGGAGCAAACGGG